AGUGAACGCUGGCGGUAGGCCUAACACAUGCAAGUCGAACGGCAGCACAGGAGAGCUUGCUCUCUGGGUGGCGAGUGGCGGACGGGUGAGGAAUACAUCGGAAUCUACUUUUUCGUGGGGGAUAACGUAGGGAAACUUACGCUAAUACCGCAUACGACCUACGGGUGAAAGCAGGGGAUCUUCGGACCUUGCGCGAUUGAAUGAGCCGAUGUCGGAUUAGCUAGUUGGCGGGGUAAAGGCCCACCAAGGCGACGAUCCGUAGCUGGUCGGCAAGGAUGAUCAGCCACACUGGAACUGCGACACGGUCCAGACUCCUACGGGAGGCAGCAGUGGGGAAUAUUGGACAAUGGGCGCAAGCCUGAUCCAGCCAUACCGCGUGGGUGAAGAAGGCCUUCGGGUUGUAAAGCCCUUUUGUUGGGAAAGAAGUCCAGCUGGUUAAUACCCGGUUGGGAUGACGGUACCCAAAGAAUAAGCACCGGCUAACUUCGUGCCAGCCGCCGCCGUAA
rnacentral:rRNA from 1 species